UACGUAGGCAGCAAGCGUUGUUCGGAAUUACUGGGCGUAAAGGGCGCGUAGGCGGCGACUCAAGUUAGAUGUGAAAGUCCUGGGCUUAACCUGGGGACUGCAUUUGAUACUGGGUUGCUUGAAUUCGGGAGAGGAUAGCGGAAUUCCCAGUGUAGAGGUGAAAUUCGUAGAUAUUGGGAAGAACACCGGUGGCGAAGGCGGCUAUCUGGACCGACAUUGACGCUGAGGCGCGAAAGCGUGGGGAGCAAACAGG
rnacentral:rRNA from 1 species